ensembl:piRNA 21ur-14074 ncRNA
UUUAUUCCAUCUUUUAUUCAA